rnacentral:misc_RNA from 1 species
AGCAGCCGCGGUAAUUCCAGCUCCAAUAGCGUAUAUUAAAGUUGUUGCAGUUAAAAAGCUCGUAGUUGAAUUUCGGGAUUAAUUUACUGGUCGUGCUAUUGUACGUACUGGUUUUAUUGAUUCCUCCCUUCUGACGAACUAUGAUGUCAUUAAUUUGGUGUCAUAGGAAAUCAGGACUGUUACUUUGAAAAAUUGAGUGUUUAAAGCAGGCUCACGCUUGAAUACAUUAGCAUGGAAUAACGGAAUAGGACGUUUGAUUCUAUUUUGUUGGUUUCUAGGAUCGACGUAAUGAUUAAUAGGGAUAGUUGGGGGCAUUAGUAUUCAAUUGUCAGAGGUGAAAUUCUUGGAUUUAUUGAAGACUAACUACUGCGAAAGCAUUUGCCAAGGAUGUUUUCAUUAAUCAAGAACGAAAGUUAGGGGAUCGAAGACGAUCAGAUA